AGGAAAUGGGGCAGCCAGGAGUGCUCGAGAACAGAUGGGGCCAGGCACCAUGGCCCACACUUGUAAUCCCAGCACUUUGGGAGGCCAAGGCAGGCAGAUCACUUGAGCCUCCCCAGGGAUAUGAGGCGGCUUGUGAGGUCCUCUGGAGUCAGAAGAUGCCACCACCCCAGAGGAUGUGAGCCCACCUGUGGAGGUCUUGAUCCCCACCACUAGGAUGGGGCAGCCCCAAGGUGGGUGACUACAUGAACUCCCUGUGGUGAGGGGUGAGUAGAAGCCCAUGGAAGCCUCCCCACUGCCAUGCAACCCCAUCGCAUCUCCACUGAACUCCGAGCAGAAAACGGCUGCCUGAUGGGAACUGUCAUUUAGGUUCCCAGGCUACUUUGGUGGAUCUGAGAAUAAAUCCCUCAAGACAAGGUCCUUGCUCUGCCCUUCUCCAGGGUGGGACCCAGAGUUACUGGCCCCUCCAUCCCAUGGAGCCGAUUCUGCAACCCUCACUUCCUAAGCACAGAAAUCUGGAACCACUGGUUAAAAAGAAGUCUGAGAGCCAAAAUACACACAGCCAGCUGUGAGUUACUACCUGCCUUACCCAGGAAAAGGACAUGAGCUGCCCAAGCACACACCUCUUUGCCAUCUAUGCCAGCAUUUUUACCUUCAAGGCCGAUGUUCUCAUCGUGUUAAGUACAUUUGAGUUUAAAUGCGAGUCUAUGAAUUCCUGUCUACUGCCUGGAAGUGCCGCUGUCAGGACUGAGAUAAUGUGUGUACUUUCGGUGCACAGGGGACGCUCAACACGUGCGAGCUUCCCUUGCAGAAAGCCAAGAGAUGAAAGGCUGGGGGCCGCCCCUGCCUUAACGUGGAUCCCACACUCUCCGAGAUCAUCUCCCCAGCUAGCGCUUACUCCUGCCCAGGAACCAGAUCCUGGGGCCUCCGGGUUCGGAUGCGGAGGGGCCCAGGGCACCAGGAGACGAUGGAGAGAGGCCACGCCCCUCGCGACGUCACUGAUGUCAAGGUGACUGGACUUGGAGAUAGGGAAGUCCAGAAGAGCAGUGGGCUGCUGUCUGAGAGUGUCCCUGUCACAGCCUCGAGCAAUCACUGACCUGGGAUCACGGACAGAUUUCAAGCAUCAGGAAGAAGGUGGGAGUAGAUGGCAGUGAAGGUGCCUCUCGACUGGGAGAUGCAGUGUGCAUUGGCUGGGAUCCCCUUCCUCGGCUCCCUACUCCACCACUACCCCAGAACAAACUCCUACCUCUGUUUGCAACUAAGAGUUACAUCCCCCAUGCCAAGACCUUCCGAGGCGUCCCAGAGGGGGAGCUGCCGAGUGCCGGGUCGUCGCUGACCGCAGGCUGCAAGAGCGGUUGAUCUGUUUGCUGUGCCAUUUCUCAUGCCAGGAGUGCCUGUCCUCCCUGUCUACCCAUCUCUGCUGCUCCAGCUCAUAAAGCUUCCUUGAAACAGUGCCAGCCAAAUCUGAUUCCUGUCUCCUCUGAACGCCCAGCACACUCAGUUUGUACCUUUCUCACGGCACAGCGUGUGGCCUGUCUCAUAUUCUAGCGAUCUGUUUACUAAUCCUGUUCUUCUAACCAGAUUAGAAAGUCCUUGAGGCAGAAACAAAGUCUGCUUCUUCUUUGAGCCCUCUCCUCCACUGCCCCCGCCUCCCACCACCAUUCCAACUCAUCCCCCACAGGCCAGGCUUGGCACCGGAGUUCAUGUUCAAUAAAUAUUGGGUGUAUUGAAAUGA